GCCCCCCUCUGCGUGUUCACAGUGGACCUUGAUUUAAUGUCCAUACAAUUAAGGCACGCGGUGAAUGCCAAGAGAGGGGCU
rfam:Xenopus laevis strain J chromosome 9_10L, whole genome shotgun sequence.